rnacentral:lncRNA from 1 species
UUCCGCUGCAGGAGGUUGAGGUCGCGGCCUUCGUUUCUCCCGGGGAGGCUUUGGGGCCCGCUGCUUCAUGGACCUUGUCGUCUUCUCCUCGGAGCGCCCAGCACGAGGUCGGCCGAGGGAAGUUACUCAGUGAGUAAGUGUGAUUCGUGUAGCUGUUCAAAAGGGUGUGACAGCCUGGGAGUAGAGAACAAAAUAGAAAUACUGUCCGUGUCCGUCUUCCUUGUCUUUUAUCUCGCUUGCUUUCGGUGGGCUGUAGAAUCCAGCAGCUUUUUCAGAGUAUUCCAAAGUUGAGGUAUCAUUAUGCCUCAUAUUGUCAUGAUCUAAAACAAAUCCCCUUAGAAACAAUUCAGCGUUAGUGCUCAAUUUUUUGUUUCUUGGUUGGGGAUCGUAAUGGGGAUGUGAGAAUAGCUGACAUUUGUUGGGCACCUCUCAUGACUCAGAAUUUCCGAUGCUUUCUGUCUGCUAACUCAUUUAUUUUUUCAUAACAAUGCUAUUAUUCUCAUUUUUAAAGUGAAGAAACAGGCGCAGACAAUUGAAUAAACG